rnacentral:rRNA from 1 species
GAGUUUGAUCAUGGCUCAGAUUGAACGCUGGCGGCAGGCCUAACACAUGCAAGUCGGGCGGUAGAGAGAAGCUUGCUUCUCUUGAGAGCGGCGGACGGGUGAGUAAUGCCUAGGAAUCUGCCUGGUAGUGGGGGAUAACGCUCGGAAACGGACGCUAAUACCGCAUACGUCCUACGGGAGAAAGCAGGGGACCUUCGGGCCUUGCGCUAUCAGAUGAGCCUAGGUCGGAUUAGCUAGUUGGUGAGGUAAUGGCUCACCAAGGCGACGAUCCGUAACUGGUCUGAGAGGAUGAUCAGUCACACUGGAACUGAGACACGGUCCAGACUCCUACAGGAGGCAGCAGUGGGGAAUAUUGGACAAUGGGCGAAAGCCUGAUCCAGCCAUGCCGCGUGUGUGAAGAAGGUCUUCGGAUUGUAAAGCACUUUAAGUUGGAGAGGGCAGUAAAUUAAUACUUUGCUGUUUGACGUUACGACAGAAUAAGCACCGGCUAACUCUGUGCCAACA